CGGAGAGGUCCUAGAUGGUCUCUCCGGGUCCGCGACGCGACCACAGUACCUACUGCGACUUCUGUUUUCGCACCGCCUUUCCCUUCGCACGGAACCCUCCCGAAGUCAGACAUUGCCGAGCGCCCGCAGAGCAGCUUGGAGUGGCGGCGCCGGACCCGGCUGUCGGGCGGGCUCGGGUCCCGGCUGCUCCGGGCCGGGCACUGCGCGCAAGGACGCGACCCCGCCGCCCAGCGCAUCUCCCACCGACUCCCGGGCUGACGCGAGGGCAGCCCCGGGGCGCCGGCUGCGUGGAGGCCGAGCCUCGGUCACCUCCCUCGUCACGGACGCGGCCGCCGGGGCCCCGCGGGCUCUUCGAAGGCGGCGCGGCUUGGCCGCCCGCACCGCCGACACCCGAGGCCCAACGCCGCGACGCGGGCCGAGCGGCUGACGAGGUCCCACAGCGCCCGUGGGUCCGGGCCGGAGUCCUCCUCACCAGCUCCGCGCUCCGGGAGGGGCCGGCAACGGGCCGGGGCGGGAAGCGGCGCCCGAGGAGCGAGCGCGGCCGCGGGCCUCGUGUCACUCACCGUUUGAAAUGCUCGAUGAUCUUCUCUUCCCGCACGUUCUCGGGGUCUUGCUAUGUCACCCAGGCUGGAGUGCAGUGACUCACUCUUGGCUCACUGCAACCUCUGCUUCCCCUACUCAAGCGAUCCUCUCACCUCAGCCUCCCGAGCAGCUGAGACUACAGCCAGACAUGGGACUGGAGGACGAGCAAAAGAUGCUUACCGAAUCCGGAGAUCCUGAGGAGGAGGAAGAGGAAGAGGAGGAAUUAGUGGAUCCCCUAACAACAGUGAGAGAGCAAUGCGAGCAGUUGGAGAAAUGUGUAAAGGCCCGGGAGCGGCUAGAGCUCUAUGAUGAGCAUGUAUCCUCUCGAUCACAUACAGAAGAGGAUUGCACGGAGGAGCUCUUUGACUUCUUGCAUGCAAAGGACCAUUGCGUGGCCCACAAACUCUUUAACAACUUGAAAUAAAUGUGUGGACUUAAUUCACCCCAGCCUUCAUCAUCUGGGCAUCAGAAUAUUUCCUUAUGGUUUCGGAUGUACCAUUUGUUUCUUAUUUGUGUAACUGUAAGUUCACAUGAACCUCGUGGGUUUUGGCUUAGGCUGGUAGCUUCUAUGUAAUUCGCAGUGAUUCCAUCUAAAUAAAAGUUCUGUGAUCUGC
rnacentral:lncRNA from 1 species